rnacentral:rRNA from 1 species
CAGCCGCCACGGGAAUACGAAGGGUGCAAGCGUUAAUCGGAAUUACUGGGCGUAAAGCGUGCGUAGGCGGUGAGUUAAGUCUGCUGUGAAAUCCCCGGGCUCAACCUGGGAACUGCAUUUGUGACUGUAUAGCUAGAGUACGGCAGAGGGGGAUGGAAUUCCGCGUGUAGCAGUGAAAUGCGUAGAUAUGCGGAGGAACACCGAUGGCGAAGGCAAUCCCCUGGGCCUGUACUGACGCUCAUGCACGAAAGCGUGGGGAGCAAACAGGAUUAGAUACCCCUGUAGUCCCUGUCUCUUAUAU